UACGAAGGGGGCUAGCGUUGCUCGGAAUCACUGGGCGUAAAGCGCACGUAGGCGGACUCUUAAGUCGGUGGUGAAAUCCUGGAGCUCAACUCCAGAACUGCCUUCGAUACUGAGAGUCUCGAGUCCGAGAGAGGUGAGUGGAACUGCGAGUGUAGAGGUGAAAUUCGUAGAUAUUCGCAAGAACACCAGUGGCGAAGGCGGACUCACUGGCUCGGUACUGACGCUGAGGUGCGAAAGCGUGGGGAGCAAACAGG
rnacentral:rRNA from 1 species